UGAUCUGCCUGCCUCAGCCUCCCAAAGUGCUGGGAUUACAGGCAUGAGCCACUGUGCCUGGCCAAGAAAGGCUCUUAAACAUAUAAAAAGUUGCAUAACUUCACAGUAAAAGAAAAGCAAAUGAAAACCACACUGAGUGACAGAUAAAUGCAGUAAGUUAAUCUUGAUUGGAUCCUGGACUGGAAGAGAUGCAAUAUUUUGGGUAAAUUAGGGGAAAUUUUAGUAUAGACUAAUAUAUUCAGGGGUCAGUGAUCUUUUUCUGAAAGAGCCAGAUAAUAAAUACUUUGGAUUUUGCAGACCUUAUGGUCUUUGAUUUAUCUACUGACCUGUUACAGCACAGAAGCAGAUGUAGAUAAUACCCAAGUAAUGAGUGUGGCUGUGUUUCAAUUAAACUUAAUAAAAACUGGCAGUGGGCCAUACUUGGUCAUUCAUGCAUUAGAUGAUAUUAGUAAACUGAUGUUAAAUAUCUUGUGUGUUCAGAGAUAGUGAGAUUGUGGUUAUAUAGGAGAAAACAUCUAAAGUAGGUAGGGGUAAAAUAUUGUGAUUGAUGUCUCCCU
rnacentral:lncRNA from 1 species